rnacentral:rRNA from 1 species
GACGAACGCUGGCGGCGUGCUUAACACAUGCAAGUCACGGGGGCCCGCAAGGGCAACCGGCGAACGGGUGCGUAACACGUGAGCAAGCUUCCGAUUAGUGGGGGAUAGCCGGCCCAACGGCCGGGUAAUACCGCAUACGUUCACUGGACGGCAUCGUCUGGUGAGGAAACCUCCGGGGCUAAUCGAGGCGCUCGCGGCCUAUCAGCUAGUUGGCGGGGUAACGGCCCACCAAGGCUAUGACGGGUAGCUGGUCUGAGAGGAUGGCCAGCCACAUUGGGACUGCGACACGGCCCAGACUCCUACGGGAGGCAGCAGUGGGGAAUAUUGCGCAAUGGACGAAAGUCUGACGCAGCGACGCCGCGUGUGGGAUGAAGCUCUUCGGGGUGUAAACCACUGUUGCCCGGGACGAACCUCCCCUUUCGAGGGGACUGACGGUACCGGGUGAGGAAGCACCGGCUAACUCUGUGCCAGCCGCCGCUGUAAGAC